UACGUAGGGUGCGAGCGUUAAUCGGAAUUACUGGGCGUAAAGCGUGCGCAGGCGGUUUUGUAAGACAGAUGUGAAAUCCCCGGGUUCAACCUGGGAACUGCAUUUGUGACUGCAUGGCUAGAGUACGGUAGAGGGGGAUGGAAUUCCGCGUGUAGCAGUGAAAUGCGUAGAUAUGAGGAGGAACACCGAUGGCGAAGGCAAUCCCCUGGACCUGUACUGACGCUCAUGCACGAAAGCGUGGGGAGCAAACAGG
rnacentral:rRNA from 1 species